rnacentral:rRNA from 1 species
CGUACCUUUUGCAUCAUGAUUUAGCCAGAAUCCUUUAAGCAAAGAGAACUUUAGUUUAAAACCCCGAAACUGAGUGAGCUACUCCAAGACAGCCUAAAAAUAGGGCGAACCCGUCUCUGUGGCAAAAGAGUGGGACGAGCUUCGAGUAGAGGUGACAGACCUAUCGAACUCAGUUAUAGCUGGUUGCCUGUGAAUUGGAUAGAAGUUCAGCGUCUCGGCUUCUCCCUUCACCCCAACAUGGUUUUUAACCAUACCCAAUGAUACAAGAGAAACCGCGGGAGUUAGUCAAAGGAGGAACAGCUCCUUUGAACAAAGACACAACUUUACCAGGAGGGUAAAGAUCAUAAUCUUCAAGGCAAAAUGUUUUAGUGGGCCUAAAAGCAGCCAUCCUAAUAGAAAGCGUUAAAGCUCAAACAUAUCUCACCCCCUCAUAUCCUGAUAACUCAAUCUAAACCCCCUAAUUCUACCAGGCCGCCCCAUGCAAUACAUGGGGGCGACUAUGCUAAUAUGAGUAAUAAGAGGGCCUAAAAAGCUCUCUCCCUGCACACGCG